rnacentral:rRNA from 1 species
AGCACACUUGGCCGCGUGCUAAUACAUGCAAGUCGAGCGAACAGAGAAGGAGCUUGCUCCUUUGACGUUAGCGGCGGACGGGUGAGUAACACGUGGGCAACCUACCUUAUAGUUUGGGAUAACUCCGGGAAACCGGGGCUAAUACCGAAUAAUCUGUUCCACCUCAUGGUGGAACACUGAAAGACGGUUUCGGCUGUCGCUAUAAGAUGGGCCCGCGGCGCAUUAGCUAGUUGGUGAGGUAACGGCUCACCAAGGCGACCAUGCGUAGCCGACCUGAGAGGGUGAUCGGCCACACUGGGACUGAAACACGGCCCAAACUCCUACGGGAGGGAGCAGUAGGGAAUCUUCCACAAUGGGCGAAAGCCUGAUGGAGCAACGCCCCGUGAGUGAAGAAGGUUUUCGGAUCGUAAAACUCUGUUGUAAGGGAAGAACAAGUACAGUAGUAACUGGCUGUACCUUGACGGUACCUUAUUAGAAAGCCACGGCUAACUACCUGCCAGCAGCCGCGGUAAUACGUAGGUGGCAAGCGUUGUCCGGAAUUAUUGGGCGUAAAGCGCGCGCAGGCGGUCCUUUAAGUCUGAUGUGAAAGCCCACGGCUCAACCGUGGAGGGUCAUUGGAAACUGGGGGACUUGAGUGCAGAAGAAGAAAGUGGAAUUCCAAGUGUAGCGGUGAAAUGCGUAGAGAUUUGGAGGAACACCAGUGGCGAAGGCGACUUUCUGGUCUGUAACUGACGCUGAAGCGCGAAAGCGUGGGGGAGCAAACAGGAUUAGAUACCCUGGUAGUCCACGCCGUAAACGAU